AAGCACAGCCCACCGGCCCAGGUGCUAUCAGUUUUUUUCUUUUUUCUUCUGGUUUUAAUACCACUUUUUGCGAGAAGCAAUCACGUGGGAGGCCCCUUUAAGUUGCCAUUGACGGAGGCCCGAGCGUGUCACAUGGACAUGAUAUCAUGACCGGGCAGGAACACAGCGAGCGAGGGAGCGAGGCCACUUCUUCUUGGGCUCGGAGGUGGUGGGGGGGACGCGCGGAGUCAUUUCACGAGGAUCCGGAACGCUAGACGCGUGGACUUGUCGGUUAUACAAUACACCUGUCAGCAGCUGUGACGCGCUUUAAAAGAAGGAGAAAAAAAAAUGUCACGGAGGAAACAUCGCGGUCCCGGAGCAGCGCCGAUUGAGUGCUUCGCUUGGAGGUUAGUGUACGAAGCUCAAAUUAGCAGGCCAGGCUGGAAUGACGCACUUCUGGAAUGAAGGUCUGAAUGUGUGUGUGAGUCUAAUUUGAAUAAUAAACGAACCCUGCCAUAAUUCGGACGAAUCCAAGCAUCAAGGGAGCAUUGCGUAAUAAUGUGUGAGUGUUGACUGCGGUUCAAGCUUUAUUGUGCGUCGACCUUCCGAACCAAAUUGUUUACCUGGCUGUGGAACGAGAAAAAUGCGCAUGUGGGCGGGUAGCAUGAUCCUACCUGUUGUCAAAAAACAAAAAUGUCUUUGAUUGUGUGUGCGCGUGUGCAUGUGUGUUAUGGCCACACCUUUUCACCGUGAACUUUGCCUUUUUACUUGGACUUCACUAAAUUGGAAGGACAGCUUAGUCUGUUUUGCUUGUGUGAAUAAGUUGCAUAUUUUAAACAUGAGGAAAAAUAUGACUGCAUACCACCAAACAAAGUACUUUCACCCGCCUCAAACGUUUCCAACUGCCAGUAAGUGCCAUAAGAUGGCGGCAAACUAGUUUUUACAUUAGACAAGGCUAUGGCCGGAUAGUUAUACUAGCUUAGUUAUAGUUGGCACAAACCUGUCCACUAUUACGUGACUUUCAGAAGGUGAAGAAAAACAAGCAUUCCCCACUACGUAUGACACAUCCUGCAUCUCGGAAUUGUGGAGGGGGAAAAAAAAAUCUAACCACAAGGGUAUCAGAUGACCAGGGUCAAAUAUGCGGUAAUGAGUUGAAGGGUCAUGCUGAGCAGAUGAACAGUGGGACGCGACACGUAUAUAAUCGUGUUAUUUUUGAAGUAUGAUGAUGAAUAUGUGU